rnacentral:rRNA from 1 species
CGGAGGGGCGUAGCGGUUGUUACGGAAUUACUGGGCGUAAAGCGUGCGUAGGCGGCCUUUCAAGUUGGGUGUGAAAGCCCGGGGCUUAACCCCGGAAAUGCGCCCAAGACUGUUUGGCUAGAGACCGGGAGAGGUGUGUGGAACUCCCAGUGUAGAGGUGAAAUUCGUAGAUAUUGGGAAGAACACCAGUGGCGAAGGCGGCUCACUGGACCGGUACUGACGCUGAGGCACGAAAGCGUGGGGAGCAAACAGGAUUAGAUACCCUGGUAGUCCACGCCGUAAACUAUGAGAGCUAGACGUUGGGGGGCUUGCCCCUCUGUGUCGCAGCUAACGCGUGAAGCUCUCCGCCUGGGGAGUACGGCCGCAAGGUUA